GGGUGUCGACGAAGCGUAAGCGCAGUCGACAGGAUCGGGUUGGUCGGGCCGCCAGCC
rnacentral:ncRNA from 12 species